GUUUGUGAGGGCAAUCGGCUGUGCUGUCUAUCAUCCCAUUGAUGGCCAAGGGUGACCAUGAUGCUCCAGCUGGCUAGGCGAGUGCUCCCUUCUCUUCGUUUUUUACAACUCCAUAUGUGUCCCUCCAAAACCUGCUUGUUUGGCUAGAGAGAAUAAUCUUGCAGACGAUCAGGGCCUACUGUUCUUUGGUCAAAGAUAGCUGCACUUCAUAGCUAGAGCUUCCAAAAAAAACUUUUAAGAAUGCAAAAGUCUUUAGGACUGUUCCUCAGGAACCAGCAAUGUUCAAACCACAUCAUGUUUGUUUGU
ensembl:misc_RNA 7SK 7SK RNA